rnacentral:lncRNA from 1 species
AUGGAUUUGCUUGCAAGGACCCAAUGGCCGCAACCCCGGAAGACUUCUUCAACGCAGCCAUGCUCGAUCAGCCUAGGGAUACCAAGGCCAGCAAGGUCAGGUCCAACGUCACCAACAUCAAUGUCAUCAAUUUCCCUGGCCUCAACACCCUCGGCAUCUCCCUGGCACGCAUCGACUAUGGGCCAUUAGGUGUCAACACGCCGCACAUACACCCCCGUGCCACCGAGCUCCUCACGGUGCUUGAGGGGACACUCUACCUUGGAUUUGUCACAUCCAACCCAAACAGGCUCUUCUCCAAGAUAGUUAAGAAGGGUGAUGUAUUCGUAUUCCCAAAAGCAAUGAUUCACUUCCAAAUGAACCUGGCGCAUGACAAGCCAGCAGCCGCCUUGUCCUCGCUCAGCAGCCAAAACCCUGGGGUUAUUUCUAUCGCCAAUGCAGUCUUUGGAUCAAAGCCACCAAUUUCAGAUGAUGUUCUAGCCACGGCGUUUCAGGUGGAGAAGGAUCUGAUUCACUGGCUUCAAUCUCAGUUCUGGGAGAAUAACAACUACUAGAUACUCUCUUUCAUCUGGGCAUAUGGAAAGUUCAUAUGUAAUGCUAGUAUAUAGAAUAAAUGGCAUGUAAUAAUACGUAUGCAUGCAUGGUUGUGAGCUGUGUUUUCAUU